CAGAGUUUGUGAAAUAAUAAACACCAUGUCUAAUCCUUGUAGGAAGCAUAUACUGUUGGCCCUCCACAUUUUUGGGUUUAAAUUUUCUAGAUUUCAUUAUUCACAGAUUUGAAUAAUAUGUUAUCUCUAGGUAUCUCUAGAGCUUCUAAGGUGAAUCUGUGAUUAGCUUCUUCAAGAUAUCACGUAUUCCUUAAAGGUAAUUCCUAGCUCUUCGAGGUCUCGUGCCACAGCCUUGAUGGGAGGACUCUUCGCACUCUGCACCUUGGGAACAUUUCCAUCCACCUGCUGCUGUGCUAACCAGAUGAAUGAUGAGAUUAGCACUUGCUGAGAAAAAGUAUGAGCUCCUUUAUAGCCAGGCAGAAAGAGAUCUAAUGUGAGGGAUGGAAGCCAAGAUGGACCAACAAGACUGCCAGUUCUGAGACUCUGCCUGGACUCUCAGAACUGGAAGAUAGUAAAGCCUGGAUUAAAACAGAUACACAGCUGAUUCUAGUUAAUGAGGAGCAAUCUGCCUGUGAAAUGCUAAUGUCUUCUAGAAGGGUCACUUCUUAUCUUCGAACAUCUCCCUAAGGCUCUAGGGGCACGUCUUAUCUUCGGUUGCUUCCAGAUGGCUCUAAAUGUAUAACCUGACAAUAUAUAGAAAGGGAAUCUUGUGCCAAUUGCUUUCUGGCUGUGUGUAACUGUGAAGUUUCAUCUUCACAUUCUAUCUACCUCAGGCCAUCUUGACAGAUACAAAGAGGGUUGGCAGGACAACAUAUAUGAUUUCAGAUUGUUGAUUUCCAACUGCUUCUCUCUUUGUUCCAAUAUUUGCCCCACAAGGAAAAUAGAAGUGAAAACAGAGAAAGGGCCAGCUUUACCAUUUGAAAGAAUGGUUCAGACAUUGGAUUUAAGGAAAAUACAUGGUUAAUUAUUCAUCCUCAUUUGCCAAAAUAAUUUGGUUGGUUUUGGCACUGGUCGUGGUGUGAAGCACCAUUUCCUAUUAGAUCUCAGGCAGGUAAAUGUCUUGGGCUGGUGCUAGUGGAACAAGAUGGGAAAGGAAGAUGUAAUGAAUCUUACCUCCAUUUUGUAGAGGAAUGCCAGGCAGCCAUCUUGAGUUAGAAAGGGGGAGGAGCUUAGAGAGAGACUCCUAGGAUUGGCCAACCAGGGCAGAUGGGAGGAGCCAAGUAUUAGAGGGCAGAGGGAAAAAAGAGCUCCAGGCAGUUCUGUUUGGAGGGUUUGAAGAAGGGAGUUCUGUUUUAGGGUUUGAAAAGAGCAGUUCGGUUUUGAAGUUUGGAGUGUGUGUGUGAGAGAGAACUAAAAGCUGUGAAAACUGACAGGGUAGGUCAGGCAGUUUGGAUCUCUUGGGGGAAGAUAACUCAAGGGAUUGACUCUCACUACUGGGCUGGUUAAUAGAAGGACUCUAGGUUAGAGUUAAUUAACAACCCAGGGGAAUUCGUGACUAUUCUCAGCAAAUAGAGCGAGAGUUUUUGUGACCAAUAGAUAGAUUGGUUGGUUGGAACUGUUUGAAACUAAGUGAAGUAAUCUGAUACAUACAACUAAGUUAAGCUGAAGAACGUCUGUAACCGAUUACGCUUAUGAACCUCUCUGAAGUAAUCAUUUGCCUGUUUUUAAGAAAAUAAAUUUUUAUUCUAUUUUCAAUUUUCAA